UACGUAGGUCGCAGGCGUUGUCCGGAUUUACUGGGCGUAAAGAGCGCGCAGGCGGCUGGUCAAGUCCGAUGUGAAAUCUCCCGGCUCAACUGGGAAACUGCAUCGGAAACUGAUCGGCUUGAAGAUGGGAGAGGGUAGUGGAAUUCCCGGUGUAGUGGUGAAAUGCGUAGAUAUCGGGAGGAACACCAGUGGCGAAGGCGACUACCUGGCCCAUUCUUGACGCUGAGGCGCGAAAGCUAGGGGAGCGAACGGG
rnacentral:rRNA from 1 species